CUUGUACUCCCUCCGUCCGAAAAUACUUGUCAUUGAAAUGGAUGUAUCUAGAUGUAUUUUAGUUCUAGACACAUCCAUUUGGAUGACAAGUAAUUUCGGAUGGAGGGAGUAAUUG
rfam:Triticum aestivum genome assembly, contig: Triticum_aestivum_CS42_TGACv1_scaffold_220599_3B